rnacentral:rRNA from 1 species
GAGUUUGAUCAUGGCUCAGGACGAACGCUGGCGGCAUGCCUAAUACAUGCAAGUCGAACGCUUCUACUAGUUGAGUGCUUGCACUCAACUAGUUAGAGGAGUGGCGGACGGGUGAGUAACACGUGGGUAACCUGCCCAUAAGUGGGGGAUAACAUUCGGAAACGGAUGCUAAUACCGCAUAAUUCUGAUUGCCGCAUGGCAGACAGAUGAAAGGUGGCUUCGGCUACCGCUUAUGGAUGGACCCGCGGCGUAUUAGCUAGUUGGUGAGGUAAUGGCUCACCAAGGCAAUGAUACGUAGCCGACCUGAGAGGGUGAUCGGCCACACUGGGACUGAGACACGGCCCAGACUCCUACGGGAGGCAGCAGUAGGGAAUCUUCCGCAAUGGACGAAAGUCUGACGGAGCAAUGCCGCGUGAGUGAAGAAGGUUUUCGGAUCGUAAAACUCUGUUGUUAGAGAAGAACAAGGAUGAGAGUAACUGCUCAUCCCCUGACGGUAUCUAACCAGAAAGCCAUGGCUAACUACGUUGCCAGGCAGCCGCGGUAAUACGUAGAUGGCAAGGCGUUGUCCGGAUUUAUUGGGCGUAAAGCGAGCGCAGGCGGUUCUUUAAGUCUGAUGUGGAAAAGACCCCCAGGUCAACUGGGGGAAGGUCUUUGGGAAAACUGG